GCGGACCGACGGGAGCUUGCUCCCUUAGGUCAGCGGCGGACGGGUGAGUAACACGUGGGUAACCUGCCUGUAAGACUGGGAUAACUCCGGGAAACCGGGGCUAAUACCGGAUGCUUGAUUGAACCGCAUGGUUCAAUCAUAAAAGGUGGCUUUUAGCUACCACUUACAGAUGGACCCGCGGCGCAUUAGCUAGUUGGUGAGGUAACGGCUCACCAAGGCGACGAUGCGUAGCCGACCUGAGAGGGUGAUCGGCCACACUGGGACUGAGACACGGCCCAGACUCCUACGGGAGGCAGCAGUAGGGAAUCUUCCGCAAUGGACGAAAGUCUGACGGAGCAACGCCGCGUGAGUGAUGAAGGUUUUCGGAUCGUAAAACUCUGUUGUUAGGGAAGAACAAGUACCGUUCGAAUAGGGCGGCACCUUGACGGUACCUAACCAGAAAGCCACGGCUAACUACGUGCCAGCAGCCGCGGUAAUACGUAGGUGGCAAGCGUUGUCCGGAAUUAUUGGGCGUAAAGCGCGCGCAGGCGGUUUCUUAAGUCUGAUGUGAAAGCCCCCGGCUCAACCGGGGAGGGUCAUUGGAAACUGGGGAACUUGAGUGCAGAAGAGGAGAGUGGAAUUCCACGUGUAGCGGUGAAAUGCGUAGAGAUGUGGAGGAACACCAGUGGCGAAGGCGACUCUCUGGUCUGUAACUGACGCUGAGGCGCGAAAGCGUGGGGAGCGAACAGGAUUAGAUACCCUGGUAGUCCACGCCGUAAACGAUGAGUGCUAAGUGUUAGAGGGUUUCCGCCCUUUAGUGCUGCAGCAAACGCAUUAAGCACUCCGCCUGGGGA
rnacentral:rRNA from 1 species